rnacentral:tRNA from 3 species
GGCCCAGUGGCGCAACUGAAUAGCGCAUCAGAUUUCGGCUCUGAGGGUUGGGGGUUUGAAUCCCUCCUGGGUCA